rnacentral:rRNA from 1 species
UUUGGAGGGCAAGUCUGGUGCCAGCAGCCGCGGUAAUUCCAGCUCCAAUAGCGUAUAUUAAAGUUGUUGCAGUUAAAAAGCUCGUAGUUGAAUUUCGGGAUGAUCAGGUUGGUCGUGCCAUUGGUAUGUACUAGCUUUGGUGGUUCCUACCUCUUGAAGAACCGUAAUGUCAUUAACUUGGUGUUGCGGGGAAUCAGGACUGUUACUUUGAAAAAAUUAGAGUGUUUAAAGCAGGCAAACGCUUGAAUACAUUAGCAUGGAAUAAUGAAAUAGGACGUUUGAUCUUAUUUUGUUGGUUUCUAGGAUCGACGUAAUGAUUAAUAGGGAUAGUUGGGGGCAUUAGUAUUCAAUUGUCAGAGGUGAAAUUCUUGGAUUUAUUGAAGACUAACUACUGCGAAAGCAUUUGCCAAGGAUGUUUUCAUUAAUCAAGAACGAAAGUUAGGGGAUCGAAGACGAUCAGAUACCGUCGUAGUCUUAACCAUAAACUAUGCCGACUAGGGAUCGGAUGAUGUUAAUUUUUUAAUGACUCAUUCGGCGCCUUACGGGAAACA